UACGUAGGGGGCAAGCGUUGUCCGGAUUCAUUGGGCGUAAAGAGCGUGUAGGCGGCCAGGUAGGUCGGUUGUGAAAACUGGAGGCUCAACCUUCAGAGGUCGACCGAAACCAUCUGGCUAGAGUCCGGGAGAGGAGAGUGGAAUUCCUAGUGUAGAGGUGAAAUUCGUAGAUAUUAGGAAGAACACCAGUGGCGAAGGCGGCUCACUGGCCCGGUACUGACGCUGAGGCGCGGAAGCGUGGGGAGCAAACAGG
rnacentral:rRNA from 1 species